rnacentral:tRNA from 1 species
GGGGGUGUGGCUCAGUGGUGGAGCGUUGCCUAGCAUGCAUGAGGUCCUGGGUUCCAUCCCCAGCACCACAA